UCCCUAGUAGCUCAGAUGGUAAAGCUUCUGCCUGCAAUGCAGGAGACCCGAGUUUGAUCUCUGGGCUGGGAAU
rnacentral:tRNA from 1 species